rnacentral:rRNA from 1 species
UACGGGGGGGGGCAAGCGUUGUUCGGAAUUACUGGGCGUAAAGGGUUCGUAGGUGGCCCGCUAAGUCACACGUGAAAUCCCUCAGCUUAACUGGGGAACUGCGUCUGAUACUGGAUGGCUCGAGUGUGGGAGAGGAAUGCGGAAUUCCAGGUGUAGCGGUGAAAUGCGCAGAUAUCAGGAGGAACACCAAUGGCGAAGGCAGCUCGCUGGGACGGUACUGACGCUGAGACGCGAAAGCGUGGGGAGCAAACAGG